GACACGACGAUCUUCCGAACUGAGGGUUGAUGGGGGAUGGGAUAAAUGGGUGAUGGGUAUUAAGGAGAGCUCUUGUUAUGAUGAGCAUUUGUUAUUAUAAGUAAUGAAUCACUUAAUUCUACUCCUGAAACCAAUAUUACACUAUAUAUUAACUAACUAGAAUUUAAAUAAAAACAUGAAAA